GAUGAACGCUGGCGGCGUGCCUAAUACAUGCAAGUAGAACGCUGAAGGAGGAGCUUGCUCUUCUGGAUGAGUUGCGAACGGGUGAGUAACGCGUAGGUAACCUGCCUGGUAGCGGGGGAUAACUAUUGGAAACGAUAGCUAAUACCGCAUGACAACAGUUAUUGCAUGAUAACUGUUUAAAAGGGGCAACUGCUCCACUACCAGAUGGACCUGCGUUGUAUUAGCUAGUUGGUGAGGUAACGGCUCACCAAGGCGACGAUACAUAGCCGACCUGAGAGGGGGAUCGGCCACACUGGGACUGAGACACGGCCCAGACUCCUACGGGAGGCAGCAGUAGGGAAUCUUCGGCAAUGGACGGAAGGCUGACCGAGCAACGCCGCGUGAGUGAAGAAGGUUUUCGGAUCGGAAAGCUCUGUUGUAAGAGAAGAACGAGUGUGAGAGUGGAAAGUUCACACUGUGACGGUAUCUUACCAGAAAGGGACGGCUAACUACGUG
rnacentral:rRNA from 1 species